rnacentral:tRNA from 1 species
AAGGAUUUAAGUUAACUAAACUCGUAGCCUUCAAAGCUUCAAAUAAGAUUAUAUUCUUAAGCCUUA